rnacentral:rRNA from 1 species
UACAGAGGUCUCAAGCGUUGUUCGGAUUCAUUGGGCGUAAAGGGUGCGUAGGCGGCGGGGCAAGUCUGAUGUGAAAUCCUGGGGCUCAACCCCAGAACUGCAUUGGAUACUGCUUUGCUAGAGUACUGGAGAGGGAACUGGAAUUUACGGUGUAGCAGUGAAAUGCGUAGAGAUCGUAAGGAAGGCCAGUGGCGAAGGCGAGUUCCUGGACAGUGACUGACGCUGAGGCACGAAGGCCAGGGGAGCAAACGGG